rnacentral:rRNA from 1 species
AUUGAACGCUGGCGGCAGGCCUAACACAUGCAAGUCGAACGAACGGCUGACGGGUUAGUAAUGUAUGGGGAUCUGCCCGAUAGCGGGGGAUAACUACUGGAAACGGUGGCUAAUACCGCAUACUAUCGGAUGCACCCAUAUGGGAUUAGCUCGUCGGUGGGGUAAAGGCGCACCUAGGCGACGAUCUCUAGCUGGUCUGAGAGGAUGAUCAGCCACACUGGGACGGAGACACGGCCCAGACGCCUACGGGAGGCAGCAGUGGGGAAUAUUGCACAAUGGGCGCAAGCCUGAUGCAGCCAUGCCGCGUGGAUGAAGAAGUCCGUAGGGUUGUAAAGUACUUUCAGCGGGGAGGCGUUACCCGCAGAAGAAGCACCGGCUAACUCCGUGCCAGCAGCCGCGGUAAGUC